rnacentral:lncRNA from 1 species
GACCCAGGCCAGCUCUCCAAAUCCCCACAGGCCCUUCCACUGCCUCACUAGAUGAGGCUGGGGAGCCCUGACUCUGCAGGCACUUCCGGGAGCAGCCCUCAACACACCACUGAAUGCUCAGAGCUAUGUGGCAACUGGAGAUGCCCUCCGGGCUCCAGUACUGAUUAAAAUUCAGGUGUUUCAGACAGAAUUUAUGCUAGAAAUUUUAGAUACCUUUAAGAAAAAUAGGUCUUAUCUAGAGCCAUGGUGGGAUUUUCCAGGAAAAACGCCACUGUGCAAUUACGGGAGCAUUUCCCCAGACAUUUCCCCAGUCAUUGAGACAGUAAACAAUGGGUGAAGUGAAAUACUGAGAAGGAUGGGCAAAGAUCUGGGUGCAGUCUAUGCAGUGAGAAGAUGGCUUCAUUUACUGUCCUAGGGCUGGUUUUCAAACACACCUUCAUUUACUGUCCUGGGGUUGGUUUUCAAACACACCUUCAUUUACUGUCCUGGGGUUGGUUUUCAAACACACCUUCAUUUACUGUCAGGGUCUCACUGAAAGUACACUAAGCACUAAUCUCAUUGUCCAGGGGCCUUUCAGGCGCCUUCCUCUGCCGGCCCGGAACUCUCAACUCCUCUGGUUUGAAGAGGCAGCGAUAGCAAAAGGUUAGCAAGGGCGCAUUAAUCGCUUAAGAGAGGGAGCAUCAUCCUGGACAAAAUGACAAUGAGAGGGCAUCCCAGGCCCCCUAACAAAGAGAUGGGAGCACAGCUCUGGGCUCAUCUCGUUGCCUUUGCUUGCUUGGAAUGACAGCUCUCCUGGUCUAGCCGCCACCAGCUCGCUAGGUGGCUCUCCCCUCUCUGGGCCUCAGUUUCCUCAUCUGUAAAGAGGGUUCUUGGACGUGGUGACCUCCGAGGGCCCUUCUGGUGUGGGUGUUAUUCCUCUGUCUAUGAUGGGCUCUGGUUGGGCACAGAGCAUGUCACACAUCUGGAGCCGCCCUGGGCUUAAUCUACUGGGAAAGCGGGAGGGCUACAGAAGCUUCUCCUGCUUUCUAGGGAAUUUGAGCCUCCCAAAGAUUCUAGCCUCUAGAUGGUACCUGGUUUGGGUGUAGCGAGAAUCCCCUUUCCUCUCCCUACCUCUCACUGUUCUCCUGCCCCUGCCCCCCGCCCUUUUUUUUUGGUUUGAGACAGAGUCUCACUCUGUCGCCCAGGCUGGAGUACAGUGGCGCGAUCUCAGCUCACUGCAACCUCUGACUCCCUGGUUCAAGCGAUUCUCCUGCCUCAGCCUCCCGAGUAACUGGGAUUACAGGCACGUGCCACCACACCUGGCUAAUUUUUGUAUUUUUAGUAGAAACGGGGUUUCACCAUGUUGGCCAGGAUAGUCUUGAUCUCCUGACCUCGUGAUCUGCCCACCCUGGUCCCCAAAGUGCUGGGAUUACAGGCAUGAGUUUUUUUUUUCCUUUUUUUCUUUCUUUUUUUUUUUGAGACAGGGUCUCGUUCUGUCACCCAGGCUAGAGUGCAGUGGUGCAAUCACAGCUCAUUGCAACUUUAACUCCAGGGCACAAACAACCCUCCCAUCUCACCCUCCCAAGCAGCUGGGACCACAGAUGCAUGCCACCACGUCUGACUAAAAUGUUAUUUUUCAUUUUUGUAGAGACGGGGUCUCCUUAUGUUGCCCAGGCUGGUCUCGAACUCCUGGGCUCAAGCAAUUCUCUUGCCUCUGGGAUUACAGGGAUGAGCCACCAUACUUGACUUCUGCUCCCCUUUUUGGUAAAUGAAACCAGUGAAACUAGUGCCCACAAACCCCGCCUCAAGCCCAUUCUCUGACAGAUUUGGAAAAUCCAAAAUGUGUGAUCAUCAAGAAUGGAGUCUUUACUGAGAGACCUGCCAUAAGACUCCUCGAAAAAGAAGCCCCAUUCAGAUCUAUCCAGGUCACUGACCACAGACAAGCCCUUGGCACAGGUGAGGUAGGCCCCCGUGGGAGGAAGGGCUCUGCACGGCAGACAGUGAUGGCCCUCAGGACCACUGCUGUCCCCUGAUCACACAGCUUGCUGCACACCAACCCAGCUGAUCAAGGGCACACUUCAUUUUUUUCUGGUUCAUUCACGUGACAUUCAUUAACCUGGCCGCAUAUUAAGAACAGGAGAAUUACACUCCUUGGUUGUCCUAAUAAAUACCCUUUAUGUUUUUUAACUCCCAACUCUUUGAACACCCCAUCUAGUCCCAACGCAACAACCUAUGCAACUCACCAGCUCUGCUUUAAACAAAACCUGCAGCCCUGAAGGAUUCAGGGGCUUGGAAAAGAAAGAGAUUUGGAUGAGGUCGGGGAGGAAGGUGUGGUCAUGGACACACAAAGGUAACCUGUGGGCCCGACCCCAUCGGAGGCAAGGUGGUUGACAUGGGCUCAUCCCCAAGAGGCCCGGUCAGAGCGCAGCAGCACCUCCAGCCUGUGAUACUGGCCAUGCUCAUGGGCCCCUCCAAUUCCUGUUCCUGGCAUCGACCACAGUGCAUGCCACACAGCAGGUGGUUAAAUCAAUGGAUCCUGCACAGAUCAACUGGUGUCAGGAAAACAUUGACUUCAGCUUCUCACAGGCUCUGCAGGUGCCUUAUGGGAGCCCUUGGUCAGUCUCUGGGAAGAACAGCCCAGAGGCAACCCUGA